CGAUCGCGGGGGAAUCAGUAAACAGAGGUGUGUGCUUUUCAACGGGAUAUCAAAACUCGAAUCAGGAGUGAUCAUUUCAGUACCCGCUUCCGAUCAGCAACGACAUGGCCUUCAAACACGUCUCCUUGUACCUCACCCUCUUGGUCUCUGUCCAGGUUUGCCUGGCUGGACCAACCACUACCCCUGCACCUUUUACCUUGCCGACAUUCGCAGAACUUCUCACCAACGCCCAGAAAUCCAUCAAUGAAGCUGCCUCUCAUGUGCAACAUAUGCUGGGCAUGCCUGAAGUGAAGAAUGUUGACCAGAUUGUUGCCGUCGUGAAAAACGCAUCGGUAGACUUCACCAAAAAAGUCAACGAUGUUCUAACGACCGUCAAAACAGAGGUUGAUCCAAAUGCCAAAGCAGCAGCUGCCGCUUUCCAAAAGUUUUAUUCCGAAGUGAACAAGACGGCGACUGAGUUGGCCAAGAAGGUGCCAGAACUUCAGUCGACGGAUGUCGAGAAGGUCUUCACCAAGUCACUCAGCAGCAUCGUCGAGGAAGGAAACAAGUUGAGAGCUGCCCUGGAAAAGGAAGCACCCCAUGCGCAAGAAAGUUUGACAAAGGCUGCCCAGAACAUUAUUGACAGCGCUGUCAAGGCUGCAAAUUCAUUCGCUGGAGAGCAAUUUUACAAAAUCCUGUACCCUGACAAACAAUAGAGUUUUCUAGGGGUAGGAGGGGUUGAGGGGGAGGGCCUUUGAGGGUGGGAACCCCGAACGCGUUUCCGCUCUCCCCUUUUGCGCUGAAUUUCAGUAUUGACGCUAAACCUAAAAGGAAGACUCAAGUGCACGAGACUGUCGGCCACAAUAAUCACCCAGACCACGCAAAGCACCACAAAGCUUAAACUCAUCUAAAAUAUUUCAAUCAGUAUCAUCAUUCAUCAAGUUACCAUUGCACACGUGGACAAUCGCCCCCAGACGUCACCCAGUUAAGUUACCACUUGUGACCUCCAACGAAGUGUUUUCCUCUUGACUUAUUCCUGUAUGUGACCGAUGAUACCUCAAAUAAGACGAAUCCUUAAUGUUAAGUAAAAUAAAUCAUAGUGAUUAAGUUUUUCA